rnacentral:sRNA from 1 species
GAUCAAGACGACCACGAUUCUCGUAGUAGGAGUGCGCACACGCGAGACGGCCUGAGGCCGUCCGGCGAAAGCCACGUGUGCGCAAGCAAGGGCCCCCUCAGGGCCCUUUUUUAUUGCCCGAA